rnacentral:tRNA from 1 species
GCCGACGUAGCUCAGUUGGUAGAGCAGUUGUUUCGUAAACAACAGGUCAUCGGUUCGAGUCCGAUCGUCGGCU